GAAAAUUUGAAGAUGAGAACACAUUUGUAUUUGUCAGAAAAACAGGUGAUAGAGAAAGAUGAGGAAAUGCCGUGAGGAUCUAACAGAGCACCUCAACAGCUGGUCAGCAAGCCCAGCACAGCCAUGGCCCUGGGCUCCAGGGCCACCUACCUGGCUGAACUCACCUCAGAGGAGGCUGCGCCUCACCCAGAUGGUCAGGGAGUGUGGCCUGGCUAAGUCACCAGGAAGAGGAGGAUGGCAUCACUCCUGGAUUAGGAUGCUCUCAAGGGACUGGAUGAGACAUGUCUGUUCACACAUCCUCUGGAGCCUGGGGGACACUGCAGUUAGAGCUAAGGAAGUAGCAGAGCUCUCUGGGGCACAGCUCUGGGUCAUCCUCAUCCUGUCCUGUCUCCCUCUUUGUUCAACUCCAGACUUCAGCAAUGUUAACAGUCCUCUCCACUCUCACACUGUCUACAACACCUGACCAGUGACAUGUAGGAGGAGUUAGUCUGGAUUGGUUUAUCAACCACACUGUGUGUGUGUUGUGUGCAUGCAUGUGUGUGUGUGUGUGUGUGUGUGUGUGUCUGUGUUGUGUAAGAAAAGCGUCACUUCCUCAGUGUCCUGGAAGCCUGGAAGGAGUCCUCCUCACAGGUCCACCUCACUCUCUUACGUCCCUGCUUGUGCUCCUUGUUUCCUGUCAUUCACUGGCCAUCUAGGUCAUUGUGAUUUAGAAUUUAAUUUUAAAAUAUUUGUUUUUAUUUCAACUACUGAUAUGCAAACUAUUGAGAAGUCUCAAAGCACAAACUGUUUCAUUGAAAAUUUAAAUGUUUAUUUUAAUAUAUUUACCCAGAUAAAAAUCAUGCUUUAAAUGUUAAGAGUGGAGGUGUAACUCUGGGAUUAUGGCUCCUGCUGAGCAUGCAUAAAGCCCUGAGUUCAAUAACUAGGUAUGCAGUAAAAUGAAAUUAUUCCUAUCAUGCCUACAAACUACAAGUUUUUCAAACAUCUGUUGAAGCAGCUACAGUGAAAUAGAGGAAGACAGAAGCAAGAUCCUUCAACAUCUAUUUUUUAACAGUUCUCUCUCAAAAUUUGCAGUGAAAUUCUGCUCAACUUUUUUUCUAUCUAUGUUUGAAACAAUGCUUAUCAUUCACCCUCACAUGGAGGUCUUGUGACAGCCUGGGUCCACACACACACACACACACACACACACUGUUGGCCAGGCUGCCUCCUGAGCUGUACCUACCUGUGACCUGCAGGGCUUCAGCCUGUAGAUGGCUUAUCCUGCCUCCUUGCCCCCUGGUUUCCUGUAACUCUGUGGGAUGCAGCCCUGGGGUCCUUUCAAGUGUGGGAGAAACUAAGAAGCUGGGACUUUUCUCCCUGCUGGAAAUGGUCCAUGGCAGCUGAAGCACCUGGGCACAACAGGAACCCUGUUGGCUCCAGGCUCCAGCAUGCAGAAGGCAUUUUGAGUUCUAGCAGCACUGCAGGAUGUGGGCACCUGGGUCACUAUGGCGUCCUGCCUGUGGCUCGGCAUACACUCUCCACACUCAGUAGAGAGUGAACAGCAGAUACAGAGGGAGGAAUGGGGUCCUUGGCUGAUAGGCUCCCUUCUUCUCCACCAGCCUCACUUAGGUCAUGGCCACUUUGUAGCCAAAUCCUUGCAUGAAGUCUCUUCAGCUUGAAAUUUUGGAUGUUGUCUUGUGCUAAACCUACACUCUUAACAUUUAAAGCA
rnacentral:lncRNA from 1 species